rnacentral:rRNA from 1 species
CUCAACCUGGGAACUGCAUUCGAAACUGGCAGGCUUGAGUCUUGUAGAGGGGGUAGAAUUCCAGGUGUAGCGGUGAAAUGCGUAGAGAUCUGGAGGAAUACCGGUGGCGAAGGCGGCCCCCUGGACAAAGACUGACGCUCAGGUGCGAAAGCGUGGGGAGCAAACAGGAUUAGAUACCCUGGUAGUCCACGCCGUAAACGAUGUCUACUUGGAGGUUGUGCCCUUGAGGCGUGGCUUCCGGAGCUAACGCGUUAAGUAGACCGCCUGGGGAGUACGGCCGCAAGGUUAAAACUCAAAUGAAUUGACGGGGGCCCGCACAAGCGGUGGAGCAUGUGGUUUAAUUCGAUGCAACGCGAAGAACCUUACCUGGUCUUGACAUCCACAGAACUUUCCAGAGAUGGACUGGUGCCUUCGGGAACUGUGAGACAGGUGCUGCAUGGCUGUCGUCAGCUCGUGUUGUGAAAUGUUGGGUUAAGUCCCGCAACGAGCGCAACCCUUAUCCUUUGUUGCCAGCGGUCCGGCCGGGAACUCAAAGGAGACUGCCAGUGAUAAACUGGAGGAAGGUGGGGAUGACGUCAAGUCAUCAUGGCCCUUACGACCAGGGCUACACACGUGCUACAAUGGCGCAUACAAAGAGAAGCGACCUCGCGAGAGCAAGCGGACCUCAUAAAGUGCGUCGUAGUCCGGAUUGGAGUCUGCAACUCGACUCCAUGAAGUCGGAAUCGCUAGUAAUCGUGGAUCAGAAUGCCACGGUGAAUACGUUCCCGGGCCUUGUACACACCGCCCGUCACACCAUGGGAGUGGGUUGCAAAAGAAGUAGGUAGCUUAACCUUCGGGAGGGCGCUUACCACUUUGUGAUUCAUGACUGGGGUGAAGUCGUAACAAGGUAACCGUAGGGGAACCUGCGGUUGGAUCACCUCCUUACCUUAAAGAAGC